rnacentral:rRNA from 1 species
ACGAACGCUGGCGGCGUGCUUAACACAUGCAAGUCGAACGGGCCUUGUCCCCUUUUUUUUUGGGGGUGGGGUUAGUGGCGAACGGGUGAGUAACACGUGAGUAACCUGCCCCUCACUUCUGGAUAACCGCUUGAAAGGGUGGCUAAUACGGGGUGUUCUGGCCUGCUCGCAUGGGUGGGUUUGGAAAGAUUCGACCGGUUUUGGUUGUUUUGGUGGGGGAUGGGCUCGCGGCCUAUCAGCUUGUUGGUGGGGUGAUGGCCUGCCAAGGCUUUGACGGGUAGCCGGCCUGAGAGGGUGGGCGGUCACACUGGGACUGAGACACGGCCCAGACUCCUACGGGAGGCAGCAGUGGGGAAUAUUGCACAAUGGGCGCAAGCCUGAUGCAGCGACGCCGCGUGAGGGAUGGAGGCCUUCGGGUUGUGAACCUCUUUCGCCAGUGAAGAAGGUCCUGCUCUUUGUGGUGGGGUUGACGGUAGCUGGGUUAAUGAAGCGCCGGCUAACUACGUG